rnacentral:rRNA from 1 species
ACGGAAGGCAGCAGUGGGGAAUAUUGGACAAUGGGGGAAACCCUGAUCCAGCGACGCCGCGUGAGUGAAGAAGUAUUUCGGUAUGUAAAGCUCUAUCAGCAAGGAAGAUAAUGACGGUACCUGACUAAGAAGCCCCGGCUAACUACGUGCCAGCAGCCGCGGUAAUACGUAGGGGGCAAGCGUUAUCCGGAUUUACUGGGUGUAAAGGGAGCGUAGACGGCAUAGCAAGUCUGAAGUGAAAAUCCAGAGCUCAACUCUGGAACUGCUUUGGAAACUGCCAGGCUAGAGUGCAGGAGGGGCAAGCGGAAUUCCUAGUGUAGCGGUGAAAUGCGUAGAUAUUAGGAGGAACACCGGUGGCGAAGGCGGCUUGCUGGACUGUAACUGACGUUGAGGCUCGAAAGCGUGGGGAGCAAACAGGAUUAGAUACCCUGGUA